AUUGAACGCUGGCGGCAGGCCUAACACAUGCAAGUCGAACGGUAACAGGAAACAGCUUGCUGUUUCGCUGACGAGUGGCGGACGGGUGAGUAAUGUCUGGGAAACUGCCUGAUGGAGGGGGAUAACUACUGGAAACGGUAGCUAAUACCGCAUAACGUCGCAAGACCAAAGAGGGGGACCUUCGGGCCUCUUGCCAUCGGAUGUGCCCAGAUGGGAUUAGCUAGUGGGUGGGGUAACGGCUCACCUAGGCGACGAUCCCUAGCUGGUCUGAGAGGAUGACCAGCCACACUGGAACUGAGACACGGUCCAGACUCCCACGGGAGGCAGCAGUGGGGAAUAUUGCACAAUGGGCGCAAGCCUGAUGCAGCCAUGCCGCGUGUAUGAAGAAGGCCUUCGGGUUGUAAAGUACUUUCAGCGGGGAGGAAGGGAGUAAAGUUAAUACCUUGACUCAUUGACGUUACCCGCAGAAGAAGCACCGGCUAACUCCGUG
rnacentral:rRNA from 1 species